AGUUACAAAAACCAGGGGUUUAGAAACAAGCAGAGUGGUGAUGGGCACUGAGGUGCAGGAAAUGUCUCUGUAUUUUUUGUAUGGACUGUGAAACCGUUCUGUGUAACUGUGAGAAUUGUCCUCACACUUCACUACCUGUGAAGUUGGGAAAAUUUAAUCUACAUUUCUGGGCAGCACUUGGCAAGAAGACCUAGCUGCACUGAAAUAACAGUGAGGAAGCAGAGAGAGGAAAGAGCAAGCCAGGAAUAACUCCAGGUCCUUGUGCACCCAUUGCUGCAGCCCCACUAAGGGUGCCCUUUAUGGAGAAGCACUGGGAAAGGCUGUGCUCCAUGUAAAUCACUGUGACACAGACUGACAGCAAGCUUGUGUCUGGAGAAAGGACUAAACAAUCAGAUCACAAAAUGAGAGUAGCCAGAAGCUGCUGAAUUUUCUUUCCUGGCUAAAAACACCUGAUGAGCCAGCACAGAAGCAGCUUCUCUGUCCACUCAAGAGACUCUUUGAAACGUGGAUGUGUACGAGUUCUAGUUUAACAAAGCACUGAGUCACUCUCUA